rnacentral:rRNA from 1 species
ACGGAGGGGGCUAGCGUUGUUCGGAAUGACUGGGCGUAAAGGGCGCGUAGGCGGUUUAUUAAGUGAGGCGUGAAAGCCCUGGGCUUAACCCAGGAGGUGCGUUUCAUACUGAUAAGCUAGGGUGCGAGAGAGGAAAGUGGAAUUCCUAGUGUAGAGGUGAAAUUCGUAGAUAUUAGGAAGAACACCAGAGGCGAAGGCGGCUUUCUGGCUCGCAACUGACGCUGAGGCGCGAAAGCGUGGGGAGCAAACAGGA